GUCUUUUGUUGGUGUUAUUGUUUCUGAUCAAUGGCUACAUAGUCAAUUCACUCAGGUGGAGCUUCGCAGCCUCAAAUCGAAAUUCAUUUCAGUUAAGAGUCAAAAUGGUAAAGUUACAAUUGGAGACUUACCGCCUUUGAUGGCGAAACUAAAGGCUUUCAAUGAGAUGUUUAAUGAGGAAGAGAUCCGGAAUAUCUUGGCUGAAUCAGGUUCAG
rnacentral:misc_RNA from 1 species